GUUUAAAACGUCGUGAGACAGUUUGGUCCCUAUCUGCUGUGGGCGCAGGAAAUUUGAGAGGGCCUGACCUUUGUACGAGAGGACCGGGUUGGACGAACCUCUGGUGCACCAGUUGUCAUACCAAUGGCACGGCUGGGUAGCUAAGUUCGGAAGGGAUAACCACUGAAAGCAUCUAAGUGGGAAGCCUGCCUCAAGAUAAGAUUUCCCGUCGAAAGACAUAAAGGACCCCGGAAGACCACCGGGUUGAUAGGUCAAUUGUGUAAGCACAGCAAUGUGUUAAGCUUAUUGAUACUAAUUGUCCGUUCGGCUCCCUUUU
rnacentral:rRNA from 1 species